rnacentral:rRNA from 1 species
GAUGAACGCUGGCGGCGUGCCUAAUACAUGCAAGUCGAGCGAACAGACGAGGAGCUUGCUCCUCUGACGUUAGCGGCGGACGGGUGAGUAACACGUGGAUAACCUACUUAUAAGACUGGGAUAACUUCGGGAAACAGGAGCUAAUACCGGAUAAUAUAUUGAACCGCAUGGUUCAAUAGUGAAAGACGGUUUUGCUGUCACUUAUAGAUGGAUCCGCGCCGCAUUAGCUAGUUGGUAAGGUAACGGCUUACCAAGGCAACGAUGCGUAGCCGACCUGAGAGGGUGAUCGGCCACACUGGAACUGAGACACGGUCCAGACUCCUACGGGAGGCAGCAGUAGGGAAUAUUCCGCAAUGGGCGAAAGCCUGACGGAGCAAUGCCGCGUGAGUGAUGAAGGUCUUCGGAUCGUAAAACUCUGUUAUUAGGGAAGAACAAAUGUGUAAGUAACUAUGCACGUCUUGACGGUACCUAAUCAGAAAGCCACGGCUAACUACGUG